AUGGCUAGGCAAGAAAGUUUUAAUGCUUAUGUCGGUAGAGAGUUAAAGAAUAAUGCUUUCGAGAUAGGACGCGUGAGUGAUAAUAUGGCUAGAGUUAAAGGUGAACUUAAACUCAUUAGCAAAUAUGCGUCCAUGGUUGCUACUCAAGCUGAGGAAAUACUUAAAGCUCAAAAUGAUUUGCUUGAUGAAUUAAAUAAUAAGAAUGUCUUUGCUGUUAGAGUGGCUACUAGAACUGGUAGAAUGGCUCAGGAACCUUUGUAUCGUGAAGGCCACCCUAAGAGAAUUGAACAAGAUUCUCAGAAUAAUAAUCUAGAUGCUCCUAGUUCUUCUAAGAAGAAGAAAAAGAAAAAUGAUAGGACUUUGCGAACUUCUAGUGAACCUAAUGUAGAAACACCUGAGAAUCCUAAUAAUACUUCCAUCUCUGAUGCUGAAACACAAUCUGAAGAUGAACAUGAACCUGAUAAUAAUGCUAAUGAUGAUGUUCAUGUAGAUGCUCAACCUAGUAAUAACAAUGAUAUAGUAAUUGAACCUGCAAUUGGUCUUGAUAACCCACAAUAA
rnacentral:rRNA from 1 species